GAAGGAACGAGACUCUCCUAAGAUGGUCUCCAAGUCCUCCGGGGAGCCCUGGAUUCAGCUGCAGAGGAUUUUAAAUUCCCUUUUGAUGCCAACCUGUGAAUGGCCAUAUCUGUUUUUAUCCUGGAAAUACUCUUUUAGAAACACAUUCCACCUGCAUCCACACUUACUGGGAAACUACUGGAUGGAACUCCUGAAGAUACAGAAAGAUGCUCAAGCUGCAUCCUUGACCCAGAGGAGAGGGAGGAACCUGCAAACCACUCCGCGUUGUCAACCAGCCCUGAUGGAGGUCAGGCCAGUGGAGAUGGUUCAGCACCAUUGGUCAGGGAUCCGUAGCCCGCAGGGUAGAGCAAUGAGCAAACAGAGGGAAACAAGCCAAAGGUCCAAUCAGUGGAGUGAGAGAGUUAGGAUGGCUCAACGGGACAAGUCCCCAGCACCAGAAGAACAAGUCUAUCAACAGGCAAUCUGGAUAAAAUCACCAAAGGCCUGCCCUGGAACUCGAAAUUCCAUUAACAGUCAUCCCUCUUCUUUUGAGGUCUGUGGAGGCUUCUAUUGA
rnacentral:lncRNA from 1 species